ACUUCCGGCCGCUUUUGUCUGAGAUAAGCCUGCGAUUGAAUGGGAACCUAAAAUUCCCUAGCAAACUGCUCAGUAACACAUGAUCAACUUACCCUAUAGAGAAAAAUAACCUCGGGAAACUGAGGAUAAUGUUUCAUAAUUGAAUUGGCUUGGAAAAGUUUUUCAAUGAAAAGGAUAAAAAAAAUGGUUUUUAUCUGCUAUAGGAUAGGAUCGUGUUCGAUUAUGGUUGUUGGUGAGAUAAUGGCUCACCAAGCCGAUAAUCGAUAGGGGCCGUGAGAGCGGGAGCCCCGAGAUGGGUACUGAGACAACGACCCAGGCCUUACGAGGCGCAGCAGGCGCGGAACCUCCGCAAUACACGAAAGUGUGACGGGGUUACCCAAAAGUGUUCAAUAGAACUGUGGUAGGUGAGUAAUGUCCCCUACUAGAAAGGAGAGGGCAAGGCUGGUGCCAGCCGGCGCGGUAAAACCAGCUCUUCAAGUGGUGCGGAUAAUUAUGGGCUUAAAGAGUCCGUAGCCGGUUAGGUAGAUNCUGNUAAAUUNGNUAGCUUACUAUCUGCUGCUAGGAUACUGCUUACUAANGGCG
rnacentral:rRNA from 1 species